rnacentral:tRNA from 1 species
AUUUGAAUAGUUUAAAAAACAUUACAUUUUCAUUGUAAAAAUAGAAGACUAUUUUCUUUCAAAUA